rnacentral:misc_RNA from 1 species
AGAGGAAGAGCUAAUGUUUCAAAAGCAACUCUAGGAAGUGUAGCCAUAUAUUACGUUUACUACAAACUAUUCAAGAGCGGGAAAAAACCGUCGACGGUCAAGAAAACUCACUAAUCAAAAAUGUAUAUUAAAUUAAUAUUCUAUUACACAUAGAUAAUCUGUGUGUAAUAUUCUAUUUUAUGGCUAUUAUUAUCAGUUACAAAUAAAAUCAUAAUUUUCUCAAUAAAAGAGCCAAUCGUUUUUGUUUUGAUAUAAUGGAACGUAAUUUCAUCUGUCAAGUGUCAAUGUCACUCACAUUCAAAGUCAAAGAUUCGAGUUUUUACUUUUUAAUUUUUCUGUGGUUUUUCUUGUUUCUUGGAGGUUGUAAUUACAUAAUUUCAAUAGCAGAAUGUCUGGAGCAGAUAGUGUUGACGAGUCCCAACUAAAAGGACUCUCCAAAUACUUUAACAGUACAACGAACAGAGGCAGAGCUAAUGUAGCAAAGGCAACCUAUGCAGUGUUUGGUGUAAUUGCAUUAUACUUCACAUUAAAACCUAAAACAAAAAAAUAAAACAAAUAAUAUGUGAUAGAUACUUCUUUAUUUUUAUUUAAGUGAAUUUCUUAAGAACAAUGUUUAAUUCUUUAGUGUGAAUAAAUAAUCAUGUGAAGUACUG